CAAGUCGAACGAGGUCUGUAGCAAUACAGAUACUCGUGGCGAACGGGUGCGUAACACGUGGAUAACCUUCCUUCAGGUGGGGAAUAACCCAGUGAAAAUUGGGCUAAUACCGCAUAACAUGACGAUGGCUCAUGCUGUUGUCUUCAAAGCCGCAAGGCGCCAGAAGAGGGAUCCGCGGCCGAUUAGCUUGUUGGCGAGGUAAUGGCUCACCAAGGCAUUGAUCGGUAGCCGGACUGAGAGGUUGACCGGCCACACUGGAACUGAGACACGGUCCAGACUCCUACGGGAGGCAGCAGUGGGGAAUCUUGCGCAAUGGACGAAAGUCUGACGCAGCAACGCCGCGUGGGGGAUGAAGCUUCUCGGAGUGUAAACCCCUUUCGACCCGGACGAAUGCCCGCAAGGGCUUGACGGUACGGGUAUAAGAAGCCCCGGCUAACUACGUGCCAGCAGCCGCGGUAAAACGUAGGGGGCCAGCGUUGCUCGGAAUUACUGGGCGUAAAGGGUCCGUAGGCGGUGUGGCAAGUCGGAAGUGAAAUCUCUGGGCUUAACUCAGAGGCUGCUCCCGAAACUGGCAUGCUAGAGUGCGAGAGAGGCGAGUGGAAUUGCGGGUGUAGCGGUGAAAUGCGUAGAUAUCCGCAGGAACAUCCGAGGCGAAAGCGGCUCGCUGGAUCGCAACUGACGCUGAGGGACGAAAGCUAGGGGAGCAAACAGGAUUAGAUACCCUGGUAGUCCUAGCCCUAAACCAUCAGGACUUGGGGUUUGCCCUGUACGGGGCAAGUCCCGUAGCUAACGCGUUAAGUCCUGCGCCUGGGGAGUACGGUCGCAAGGCUGAAACUCAAAGGAAUUGACGGGGGCCCGCACAAGCGGUGGAACAUGUGGUUCAAUUC
rnacentral:rRNA from 1 species